ACAACUAAUUUUUUGCAUCUUAAAAUCAGAACUACUACAUAAUCAAUAUUUAAACUAACACACUCAACAGCUUCAGUAGAAUAUUAUAGUCAUUCGAAUCAUCUAUUAAAUACAAUAUCAUGCACUGAAUUUUUUCAAAACACCUAAACUAACAUCUAGAAGAGGUAAACAACCUCAAGUUAAUUAAUAGAACUCACAUGUCUUACUUCUGAACACGAUCUCACAUUAAAACUGAUAGUACUAAAAGCAUGGCUAAAUGUAUCUAACAACAUUCUUAUUAGCGCAUAACUCAAGCCAUACUAGACCAAAUUACUCAUCAGCUUUACAAAUGCUUUAAUAUUAAGUUAAUGAACACACAACCAUACAACAAGACAACAUAAACACAGAACCAAAUAAUUUAACAUAUGCUGUCAUAAAACAUGGUAUCCUCAGCAUGUUCGUUCCCAUUUCAAGAUGUCAUUUGAAAUCGAAUGUGAACCUAGUUACAACAAAGACAACCACGAGAAUUUGAGAAUCAACUUAAAACAAAACCAAGCCAUCAAUUAUAGCAGCAAAGAUCAACAGUAAAACUGAAUCAAACAGCUUCCAAAAAAUCCAGCAAUUUCAUCUCUUUAAACCAUUUUUUCACCCAGAUAAAGCAAAAGUUCUUUGAAGCUUUUAAUUUCCAGUUGAAACUCAAGAUCAGUGAGCAAAAUCAGAACCAAUUUCCACCCCAAAUGAUACAGAAAUCUCAAUGUGUUUUCAGAAUAACUUCUCUCAGCCGUUCUGCUUUUCAUUAUCUUUUAAUCUCAAAAUGGUUUGCCUUGUGUAUGAAGAAACAAUCCUUUUAUACGGGGCCUUUAGGGCAGCAAAGAAUAAGCUAGUUUAUUGUCCUUAGGUCCUUUUCCAAUCUUCAUUUUUGCUAUUGUACCCAAGUUGAAAUCAAUUUUUCGAAGUUAGUCCCAAACCCCUCUUCCUAAAAGCUUCCUAAGUUAGUUAUGCAAGAUUCCCUAAGCUAAACUACCUAAAAUGCCCUUUAAACCCUUACUUUUUUACUUUCAAGAAAUCACUCCUACGUCAAGUUAAACCAGGACCAACCUAACCCAUGGGCUUAUGUACUAGCAGCCCUGAUUGAAUCUCAAACCAUCAAGGAAUGGACUCAAAUGGAAAUUCCAGCAAGACAAACCCUGAAUUAACACAACGGAUUUAAAAAAUGGCACUUGGAAACAAUUGUUUGUAAACAAAUACACUUAUCUAAUUGGGACUAUUAUUGAUUGAAAGAGGCAGUCAAUAAGCAAUUAAAUUAAAUAUACUAUUAUGCUAACUAUUAAACACAAACUAAACCUUAAAAAAACUGGAGACCGAAUGACCUAAUGGUAAAUUUAUGACUCCAAACUUAAAAUAACUGACUAAACCUAACACUAAUUACUCGUUUCAUUUUUCAAUCAAAAUAAAAAUAGAAAGAGUAGAAGGAGAUGACGAAAGAGGAUAGUGAGAAAAUAGAAGAAAGGAAAAAGGAAAUGAGUACCUAACUAUGGUUGUCCGGUUGUUCGGCUAGACCCGUCUUCUUCGAUUUCAAUCCAAAAAGAGGUGUCAAAUGAAUGUUCCCCUUUGAGAACAGACAAGGGACACUUUUUUCUGCUCAAAUCGUUUUAGAAACCUAUGCACGCCCGCCUAGAUGUGAUCUUUGUGAGGUUUGAGGAGGACUUGAUGGGAUUGACUUCAGGUUUUUGGGAAGAGCAAGAAAUGGUGAGUGUUUGGGUCUGAUUUGGUUGAAUUAGGGUUUGAACUCUAAUUUUUAGAUUUAAGAUUCGACGAGAUCGAGGGGGAUUCGAGGGGAACUACAUUGAGAUUUGGAAAAAGAAGGAUGAGAGGGUUCUGGUGUGUUAAUUUGGGGUGGAUUGGGGUAGUUUAUGGCAUCAACAGUGGCGGAGAUGAUGGAGGUUGGGGGGAGGGCUCUAGGUUUCCUAGGCUAGAGACGAUGAGGAUUUU
rnacentral:lncRNA from 1 species